UCACCUACUUGUACAGGUCAAUAGGCAAUCAAGAAGGCUCAUGGCGCCUAGUAACCUCCAUUGCACUUUGGGAGGGGUGCUAGCCCAAAGUUAGCCCAAGUGAUCGAGCCUAUGUCAUAAUUUCC
rnacentral:snRNA from 15 species